rnacentral:rRNA from 1 species
UGCGUAGGUGGCAAGCGUUAUCCGGAUUUAUUGGGCGUAAAGGGAACGCAGGCGGUCUUUUAAGUCUGAUGUGAAAGCCUUCGGCUUAACCGGAGUAGUGCAUUGGAAACUGGGAGACUUGAGUGCAGAAGAGGAGAGUGGAACUCCAUGUGUAGCGGUGAAAUGCGUAGAUAUAUGGAAGAACACCAGUGGCGAAAGCGGCUCUCUGGUCUGUAACUGAUGCUGAGGUUCGAAAGCGUGGGUAGCAAACAGG